CGUAGCGAAAUGCGAUACUUGGUGUGAAUUGCAGAAUCCCGUGAACCAUCGAGUCUUUGAACGCAAGUUGCGCCCGAAGCCACUAGGCCGAGGGCACGCCUGCCUGGGCGUCACAC
rnacentral:rRNA from 1 species